CCUACGGGAGGCUGCAGUAGGGAAUCUUCCACAAUGGGCGAAAGCCUGAUGGAGCAACGCCGCGUGGGUGAAGAAGGUCUUCGGAUCGUAAAACCCUGUUGUUAGAGAAGAAAGUGCGUGAGAGUAACUGUUCACGUUUCGACGGUAUCUAACCAGAAAGCCACGGCUAACUACGUGCCAGCAGCCGCGGUAAUACGUAGGUGGCAAGCGUUAUCCGGAUUUAUUGGGCGUAAAGGGAACGCAGGCGGUUUUUUAAUUCUGAUGGGAAAGCCUUCGGCUUAACCGGAGUAGUGCAUUGGAAACUGGGAGACUUGAGUGCAGAAGAGGAGAGUGGAACUCCAUGUGUAGCGGUGAAAUGCGUAGAUAUAUGGAAGAACACCAGUGGCGAAAGCGGCUCUCUGGUCUGUAACUGACGCUGAGGUUCGAAAGCGUGGGUAGCAAACAGGAUUAGAUACCCGAGUAGUC
rnacentral:rRNA from 1 species